UUCUUUUCUUUUUCUUUUUCUCUCUAUCUCAAUCUCUAUAUCUAUUCGUAUCUCUAUCUCUAUCUUAAAAUUUUCUUAUUCUCUGUGACAGGUUUAUAUUCUGUCAUAUUUCUACAACGGAAUAUCCUAUUUUCGAGAUUCUUACGACCAAUAAAUAGUUAGAUAAAUGAACGAUCGUCCUCGAGCAUAAUUACACCCAAUCAGUGCGAUAUUUUAUUAGGCCGCGACUGUUCGAAGCGACCACUUGGUUUCUUCGUUGGUUAGUACAGUAACGUUAAAAAUUAUCUCAAUGGCGGUAGUAAUACAUAACCUUUAGAAGAGCAUAACUCUUAAACGGUUAGUUUAAAAUAUUUACUGUCUUCACAAAAUCGUAUCAAUUUUUUACGCUCUAAAUAUUUCUCAUGAAGCGCUACGUACGAUUUUAUCGUUUAAACUUUACAAAAAGAUUGUUUCGUUAUAUCUAAGAUUAUACUUCGAUCAUUGACUGUACUACAUCUGUCGUAUUUCUAAUAGAAAUGAAUUUCUCUGCUAAUCGUUAUAUAAAUUUAAUUUGUUUAAAAUAAAUAGAUUAUAAAAUUUUUCGUA